CACAAGCGGUGGAGCAUGUGGUUAAUUCGAAGCAACGCGAAGAACCUUACCAGGUCUUGACAUCCCGAUGCUAUUUCUAGAGAUAGAAAGUUACUUCGGUACAUCGGUGACAGGUGGUGCAUGGUUGUCGUCAGCUCGUGUCGUGAGAUGUUGGGUUAAGUCCCGCAACGAGCGCAACCCCUAUUGUUAGUUGCCAUCAUUCAGUUGGGCACUCUAGCGAGACUGCCGGUAAUAAACCGGAGGAAGUGGGGAUGACGUCAAAUCAUCAUGCCCCUUAUGACCUGGGCUACACACGUGCUACAAUGGUUGGUACAACGAGUUGCGAGUCGGUGACGGCGAGCUAAUCUCUUAAAGCCAAUCUCAGUUCGGAUUGUAGGCUGCAACUCGCCUACAUGAAGUCGGAAUCGCUGGUAAUCGCGGAUCAGCACGCCGCGGUGAAUACGUUCCCGGGCCUU
rnacentral:rRNA from 1 species